GUAAAACUCUGGCUUUGAAAUUCUCAUACGUUGCACAUCGGCAACGCGAUCAAAUUUUAUCCUGUUGCAUUACCCGCACGAGAAAAAAAAUCGCACGUGUAAUCCUAGCUCAUUUUGACUUCAGAGCGUGGGUAUACUACCGUAACAUUAGUCCGAUAACGAGCAAACCGGACAUAAAGAAGCGACCGCGAAGCUGGUUGGAUGGCCAACAAGAACUGCAGAAAUAUCAAUCGGAGUUGAGAAAAGCUGGAGGGGAUGUCAAACCGAAAAUUGAACCAAUGGAUGAGG
rnacentral:lncRNA from 1 species